GGGGAAUAUUGCACAAUGGAGGAAACUCUGAUGCAGCAACGCCGCGUGAGUGAUGAAGGUCUUCGGAUUGUAAAGCUCUGUCUUCUGGGACGAUAAUGACGGUACCAGAGGAGGAAGCCACGGCUAACUACGUGCCAGCAGCCGCGGUAAUACGUAGGUGGCAAGCGUUGUCCGGAUUUACUGGGCGUAAAGGGAGCGUAGGUGGAUAUUUAAGUGGGAUGUGAAAUCCCCGGGCUUAACUUGGGGGCUGCAUUUCAAACUGGAUGUCUAGAGUGCAGGAGAGGAAAGCAGAAUUCCUAGUGUAGCGGUGAAAUGCGUAGAGAUUAGGAAGAAUACCAGUGGCGAAGGCGGCUUUCUGGACUGUAACUGACGCUGAGGCAUGAAAGCGUGGGGAGCAAAC
rnacentral:rRNA from 1 species